CGCCUCUUGAAAAAAUAUAAGAGGUCCAGCCUGCCCAGUGACUAAGUUCAACGGCCGCGGUACCCUAACCGUGCGAAGGUAGCAUAAUCACUUGUUCUUUAAAUGGGGACUUGUAUCAACGGCACCACGAAGGCUGCACUGUCUCCUUUCUCCAAUCAGUGAAACUGAUCUCCCCGUGAAGAAGCGGGGAUUAAACUAUAAGACGAGAAGACCCCAUGGAGCUUCAAACUCACCAUACAACUCUGUUCCCUACAUCCCCUGAUUCAAGAGAUAUGUAUGUUAGUUUUGGGUUGGGGGGACCUCGGAGUACAACUUAACCUCCUAAACAAAUAGGUUAACACCUUUAUCUACGAGAAACACCUCUAAGAAUUAUUAAACUAAUGUUUUUGAUCCGAUAAUCGAUCAAUGAACCAAGUUACCCUGGGGAUAACAGCGCAAUCUACUUCAAGAGUUCCUAUCGACAAGUAGGUUUACGACCUCGAUGUUGGAUCAGGGUAUCCGAGUGGUGCAACCGCUACUAAUGGUUCGUUUGUUCAACGAUUAAAACCCU
rnacentral:rRNA from 1 species